rnacentral:rRNA from 1 species
GACGAACGCUGGCGGCGUGCUUAACACAUGCAAGUCGAACGCAGUGGCGAACGGGUGUGUAACGCGUAAUCAACCUGCCCUUCAGAGGGGCACAACAGUUGGAAACGACUGCAAAUACCGCAUACUGAGGGCGGGGAAUGCGUUUGAUUAGGUAGUUGGGGGGGUAACGGCCCACCAAGGCGAUGAUCAGUAGCCGGUCUGGGAGGGUGAGCGGCCACAUUGGGACUGAGAAACGGCCCAGCAUCCUACGGGAGGCAGCAGUGGGGAAUCUUCCGCAAUGGACGAAAGUCUGACGGAGCAACGCCGCGGGAGUGAAGACGGCCUUCGGGUUGUAAAGCUCUGUUAAUCGGGACGCGGUACCGAAAUAGAAAGCCACGGCUAACUACGUGCCAGCAGCCGCGGUAAUAC